rnacentral:rRNA from 1 species
CCCUUAGAUGUUCUGGGCCGCACGCGCGCUACACUGACGGAGUUAACGAGUUGUCCUGCAUCGGAAGGUGUGGGUAAUCUUUUGAAACUUCGUCGUGCUGGGGAUAGAUCUUUGCAAUUUUCGAUCUUGAACGAGGAAUUCCUAGUAAGCGUGAUUCAUCAGAUCGCGUUGAUUACGUCCCUGCCCUUUGUACACACCGCCCGUCGCUACUACCGAUUGAAUGGUUUAGUGAGGCCUCGGGACUGGCGCGCUCGAGUAGCAAUACACCUGCGCGCCGGGAACUUGGUCAAACUUGAUCAUUUAGAGGAAGUAAAAGUCGUAACA